GGUGGGGGCGGGGGCGGGGGCUUCGGGCAAAAGCCCCCCCCCCCGCUCCCCCGGGACUGGCCCCUUUCUUGGCCUUAAAGGGAAACCAUUACCGCCUUUGUAUCCAACUCCAGCAACAAACAUUUGUGAAGGCCCAUUACUUGUCAGGUGCUGUGCUGGACGGGAGAGCGUGCAAAAUGGCAUAGCUGGGGUUCUGCCCAAACUUGCCUCUAAUUGAGGAAAUAAGAAAUCCACACGGAAGAAGAACGCUGAAGACACCAGGAAGUAGAUGAUAAGGCGUAACAGAAACAUGAGCAACCAGAGUUUUGAGGGUUCCUGGAAAAGGAAGUCUACCCUCCAGGCCAGGGCCACGCUUCAGGGCCAGGAGAUGUCUCCUCACUCACCACUGAAGCUUCCAAUUAGGUCCAGAGACCUCCCUAUCUCCAUAGCCACAACGCUGCCUUUACCUCCUCUUGUCAGGAUGUCUGCAACCACAUCUUCACCAUUCUCCUCUGCUCCUAAUCCCUGCUCUGCUAAGCAGCCAGAGUGAUCUUUCUAAAGGCUGCUGCUUGAGUUUAGGCUCACACAGCGUAUUGUCUGGAUCAGGGCUACUCCAGCGGGGGCAGCUGGAGCCCGUCCAGGGCACCCGGGAUCCCAGGUCCACAGGACUGUCUUGGGUUCUGUCUCUGCUCAACGUGCAGCACCAGCUGCGUCUGCCAAGAGGCGGCCACCUCCAGCUGACAGCAGACGCCCUCCCACAGGAGCAGAGUACGCCUGCCUCAGCCUCCUCUCUAGCCGGGAGUUUCUCUCCAGAAGAGUAUGGCCCCUCCUCCAUCUGGUGCAAGCCGGAAGAGGUGAGGGUGCUGGGUGUCUGAGGAACCGGGCAGGUGCUCCCCCGGCCCCCACUGUUUUCUUCUGAAUCUCUCUUCCCUGCCUGAAGGGUUUCCACUUACCCAUACUGUCUGGUGGGAAUUCCUCCAACUUCAUACCUUCCUCCUCUUUGAGGUAUUUUCUGCUGUAUUUAUUGCUACACAAGCCACCCACGUGGCUUAAAACAAGAAACAGGU